GAUGAACGCUGACAGAAUGCUUAACACAUGCAAGUCAACUUGAACUUCGGUUUGGGUGGCGGACGGGUGAGUCACGCGUAAAGAACUUGCCUCACAGCUAGGGACAACAUUUGGAAACGAAUGCUAAUACCUGAUAUUAUGAUUAUAUGGCAUCGUAUAAUUAUGAAAGCUAUAUGCGCUGUGAGAGAGCUUUGCGUCCCAUUAGCUAGUUGGAGAGGUAACAGCUCACCAAGGCGAUGAUGGGUAGCCGGCCUGAGAGGGUGAUCGGCCACAAGGGGACUGAGACACGGCCCUUACUCCUACGGGAGGCAGCAGUGGGGAAUAUUGGACAAUGGACCGAGAGUCUGAUCCAGCAAUUCUGUGUGCACGAUGAAGUUUUUCGGAAUGUAAAGUGCUUUCAGUUGGGAAGAAAAAAAUGACGGUACCAACAGAAGAAGUGACGGCUAAAUACGUG
rnacentral:rRNA from 1 species